AUCCUCCAGCUCACAUACGAUCUCUGGAGCGAUCUCUCUUUGACAACACGUCUUCGGGGAAACUCUGCCUGGAAACAGGGGCAAAGAAAAACAGCGCGUGCUUACCGGAACCAGCGGCCGACAGAGACAGGCGUGUCUCACAGGCAACGAGGGGUCGAUAUUAGGUGCGACUUCCUGAACCAGUGAUGGGCGGAGAGCAGAGCCGCGAGAAGACGAUAGAGGACACGGGAGACGAGACAGAGGAACACGAGGACACUCCGGCCUCUGCAGCUGCUGCUGAAGACACCACAGGUGAGCUGCCCCAGUGCAUGAUGGGAAACCGGCAGGUUGACAACAUGUGUUUCAUGAUCUCCUGCACCAACUGGUACUGAACUGGUCGCAGCAGCAGCAGCAGCGACGAUGUGGACGUGAGGACGGAGACGUCAGAUCCCCAGAGUUAGACGAGGAGCAAGAAGAUGUCUCCUGCUCCGAAAAAGUUAGUACUUGUAGAAUUACUGUCAUGUUCUGUAAAAAAAAAAGCUUUGUGUCUAUUAAAACUUCUUUUUCCUCUGAA